rnacentral:rRNA from 1 species
GUGCCAGCAGCCGCGGUAAUUCCAGCUCCAAUAGCGUAUAUUAAAGUUGUUGUGGUUAAAAAGCUCGUAGUUGAACCUUGGGCCUGGCUGGCCGGUCCGCCUCACCGCGUGCACUGGUCCGGCCGGGCCUUUCCCUCUGUGGAACCCCAUACCCUUCACUGGGCGUGGCGGGGAAACAGGACAUUUACUUUGAAAAAAUUAGAGUGCUCCAGGCAGGCCUAUGCUCGAAUACAUUAGCAUGGAAUAAUAAAAUAGGACGCGCGGUUCUAUUUUGUUGGUUUAUAGGACCGCCGUAAUGAUUAAUAGGGACAGUCGGUGGCAUCAGUAUUCAACUGUCAGAGGUGAAAUUCUUGGAUCAGUUGAAGACUAACUACUGCGAAAGCAUUUGCCAAGGAUGUUUUCAUUAAUCAGGAACGAAAGUUAGGGGAUCGAAGACGAUCAGAUACCGUCGUAGUCUUAACCAUAAACUAUGCCGACUAGGGAUCGGACGGUGUUAUUCAUGACCCGUUCGGCACCUUACGAGAAAUCAAAGUGCUUGGGCUCCAGGGGGAGUAUGGUCGCAAGGCUGAAACUUAAAGAAAUUGACGGAAGGGCACCACCAGGGGUGGAGCCUGCGGCUUAAUUUGACUCAACACGGGGAAACUCACCAGGUCCAGACACAAUAAGGAUUGACAGAUUGAGAGCUCUUUCUUGAUUUUGUGGUGGUGGUGCAUGACCGUUCUUAGUGGUGGGUGACUUGUCUGCUUAAUUGCGAUAACGAACGAGACCUUAACCUGCUAAAUAGCCCGCAUUGCUCCGGCAGUGCGCUGGCCUCC